GAUGAAGAACGUAGCGAAAUGCGAUAAGUAAUGUGAAUUGCAGAAUUCAGUGAAUCAUCGAAUCUUUGAACGCACAUUGCGCCCCCUGGUAUUCCGGGGGGCAUGCCUGUCCGAGCGUCAUUACAACCCUCAAGCUCAGCUUGGUGUUGGGCCCCGCCGCCCCGGCGGGCCCUAAAGUCAGUGGCGGUGCCGUCCGGCUCCGAGCGUAGUAAUUCUUCUCGCUCUGGAGGUCCGGUCGUGUGCUCUCCAGCAACCCCCAAUUUUUUUCAGGUUGACCUCGGAUCAGGUAGGGAUACCCGCUGAACUUAAGCAUAUCAAUAAGCGGAGGA
rnacentral:misc_RNA from 1 species